rnacentral:lncRNA from 1 species
CGUACCCUUGAUAUGCAUCUUAAAAUAAUAAAUCUAUAAUUCAAGAUUUGAUGGCUUAAAAUAUCGAAAAAAAACAAAUUGUCUCAACAUUUUAACUAGGAAAAUAGGUAAUAUUCUUGUAACAUGAAUUGCAACGGGUCAAACAUUUGGGUCAACUACGCAACAAAUUAUCUCAACAUUUUAUCUAGGAAAAUGGUUGGUGACCACCGACUAAAAUUGCAAGUUUUAUUGCUAUAACAUGUGUUGCACUG